rnacentral:rRNA from 1 species
AGUGAACGCUGGCGGCAGGCCUAACACAUGCAAGUCGAACGGCAGCACAGAGGAGCUUGCUCCUUGGGUGGCGAGUGGCGGACGGGUGAGGAGUACAUCGGAAUCUGCCUAUUUGUGGGGGAUAACGUAGGGAAACUUACGCUAAUACCGCAUACGACCUACGGGUGAAAGCGGAGGACCUUCGGGCUUCGCGCAGAUAGAUGAGCCGAUGUCGGAUUAGCUAGUUGGCGGGGUAAAGGCCCACCAAGGCGACGAUCCGUAGCUGGUCUGAGAGGAUGAUCAGCCACACUGGAACUGAGACACGGUCCAGACUCCUACGGGAGGCAGCAGUGGGGAAUAUUGGACAAUGGGCGCAAGCCUGAUCCAGCCAUGCCGCGUGGGUGAAGAAGGCCUUCGGGUUGUAAAGCCCUUUUGUUGGGAAAGAAAAGCAGUCGGUUAAUACCCGAUUGUUCUGACGGUACCCAAAGAAUAAGCACCGGCUAACUUCGUGCCAGCAGCCGCUGUAACAC